GAAAAGUCGGAAAAUAGAUGUUGGAACUAGAAACAUGUUCUCAAUCUUCAAUCCCAUCAUUUUUCCAAUCUUACUGGUGAAAUCUGAAGAAAGAAAAUGCAGUCUUUGAAUCGUUUUCGUUGUCUCUCCCCUGCGUCCCCUUGUUUCAGAUGGCUGGCAUCGCGUGGUUCUUGCAGAAAAUUGUUCAUUGGAGAUGCAGGUCUUUCUUAUGAUACCAAUGAAACCAUUCUAAAAGAUGCUUUUGGACAGUACGGUGAAAUAAUUGAUGCAGUUAAGGUUAUAUGUGAUCAUGUGAGUGGGAAAUCAAAAGGCUAUGGGUUUGUGCAGUUCACUUCUGAC